UGCAAGUCUGGUGCCAGCAGCCGCGGUAAUUCCAGCUCCAAUAGCGUAUAUUAAAGUUGUUGCAGUUAAAACGUCCGUAGUCAAACUUUAGUCUUACCGGCGCGGUGGCCUGGUCUUCAUUGAUCAAGCUCGCUGUCGCUGGAGACUCCACGUCCGCUGGCUCCUAGUCCUCGUGGCUAGGGUUUUGUGGACAAUUACCAUGAGCAAAUCAGAGUGUUUAAAGCAGGCUUUUAAGCUUGAAUGUGUUAGCAUGGAAUAAUGAAAUAUGACUUUAGUCCUAUUUUCGUUGGUUUAGGUACUAUAGUAAUGAUUAAUAGAAACGGUUGGGGGCAUUUGUAUUUGGCCGCUAGAGGUGAAAUUCUUGGAUUGGCCGAAGACAAACUACUGCGAAAGCAUUUGCCAA
rnacentral:rRNA from 2 species